UUGGAGGUAAUACUCCAUAUAAUAAAAAUAUUGCAUGCCCCUUGCGAUAGUGUGAAGAGCGCCCGUAGGCCAAUGUGCCAAUGUGCCAACUCGUCUUAGAGGGCUAAUGUUAAAACUGCCAUCUACUAAAAUAUGCUAUAUCAGCAGUAUACACAUUUUCUCACAUCACAUGUGUGACCUCACAGCUACCACCCAAAGGCAGUGUCAUAGCUGUCUCACAGUAUAGAGCAGGAAACUGGGAGCCAGCAUUACAUUAGCCACCAGCUCCUUGUUGAAAGCAGAUAACAUCAGAAAUCAUGGCUCGUCGUCGUCAGAUCAGGAUGCACAAACAGAGGAGGCACAGGAGACCUCGUACUAGAGGUCCCAAUCGCAGACACCGUUAUUAUUAUCGGAGACGGGCAUAUUAAACAAAUGUGAUCAUUUCUUCCUGUGACUGGUGCCAACUGCUUCUGACAUCAUCACCUGGUGGACGAUGAGCAACACAGAACACAAGGAUGCAUGGCUUCACAGCCCGCCGCUACAUGACACAGCAGGAAACAUGUAGUAAAUAAACAACCCUGAGCAGCA